rnacentral:rRNA from 1 species
AAUCAACGCUGGCGGCGUGCCUAACACAUGCAAGUCGAACGCGAAAGCCCUUUCGGGGGUAAGUAGAGUGGCGUCCGGGUGAGUAACACGUAGGUAAUCUACCUUCGGGUGGGGAAUAACUCGCCGAAAGGCGAGCUAAUACCGCAUAAUGCAGCGGCACCUAAUGGUGAUUAGUUGUUAAAGCGGGGGAUCGUAAGACCUCGCGCCUGAAGAGGAGCCUGCGGCAGAUUAGCUAGNGGUGAGGUAAUGGCUCACCAAGGCUUCGAUCUGUAGCUGGUCUGAGAGGACGGCCAGCCACACUGGCACUGACACACGGGCCAGACUCCUACGGGAGGCAGCAGUGGGGAAUUUUGGGCAAUGGGCGCAAGCCUGACCCAGCAACGCCGCGUGAGGGAGGAAAUCCUUCGGGAUGUAAACCUCACAAGCAAGGGAAGAGAGCU